rnacentral:rRNA from 1 species
AGAACGAACGCUGGCGGCAUGCCUAAUACAUGCAAGUCGAACGAACUCUUCGGAGUUAGUGGCGCACGGGUGCGUAACGCGUGGGAAUCUGCCCCUUGGUUCGGAAUAACAGUUGGAAACGACUGCUAAUACCGGAUGAUGACGAAAGUCCAAAGAUUUAUCGCCAAGGGAUGAGCCCGCGUAGGAUUAGCUAGUUGGUGAGGUAAAGGCUCACCAAGGCAACGAUCCUUAGCUGGUCUGAGAGGAUGAUCAGCCACACUGGGACUGAGACACGGCCCAGACUCCUACGGGAGGCAGCAGUAGGGAAUAUGGACAAGUGGGACGAAAGCCUGAUCCAGCAAUGCCGCGUGAGUGAGUGAAGGCCGUUAGGUUAGUAAAGCUCUUUUACCGAGAUGAUAAUAGACAGUAUCGGAGAA